rnacentral:lncRNA from 1 species
AUGUCAACAGCAGCAGCAUUGGAAAGCCUCAUCAGGAUGAAAGGAAAGCUUCCUCCAAGAGAAAAAGAAAAGACGUGUGAAUGCUUACAAGGAUGGAAAGCAGCACCAACCUUCUGGUGGUUAAUGCAGGAUGCUUUCCCACCAAAUCCCUGUCUCUUGUCACCUCCUCUCUCCUGCCAGCAUCCUGGCGCAUUCCCAGUGCCUCCUCCAAGUCCUCACCUGAUGCUCUCUGAAACCACUGGAAAUAUUCCUGUUGACUUCAAGAGACUUUUCUUUCCCUAAGUAUGUAUCCAAGCAUUGUAGCCUCUGAAUCUCCAAUUUCAUCUAUUAUUCUGCAUCUUUUAUUUUAAAGAGAUGGGGGUGGAAGAGACCCUAUAUCCUGCAUGAAAACCCAAAGGGCUGUAAAGAAUUAUUCUCUUUACCAGAUCAUGCAUUGAUUUCACUCAAUCUUAAAAUCAGCCUUUCUCACACUUCUCCUCUAUCAGCUCUGUCACAUUUUGGAAAAAAAGAUUACUCGCUUCCCUAACAUAGCAGAGGCUGUUUAUCCCCAAAAUGUUUAACACAAAACCGUUUACAUUCAUAUAACAUGAUUUGUACACACACGGUCUGUAGUAUACACAGGCAUGUUGAAUAUCAGUCAAAUUUUCACUUUUUAGCUUUAAAAGGGACUUUCUUGUCAAUAAAUCACAUGGGAUUUUUUUCAGUACUUUAUUCUUAGUGACAUUUGGGGGGGGCAUAGAAAGGUAAAAAUCAAGAGACAUUUACAAUUUAUACAAAUACUCCAUCCUUAUUGCUCAUAAGGAGCAAUUUAAAAUUACAAAUAACUAUUCUAUAAAUCAGGUAUAGACAGACAACUUACUGGACUCCUUCCAAGAUACACUGAGACAUGCACCAAAAUAUCAGAGUGUAAUUACUUUCAUUAUGUAUUCCAAUUAAUGUGAAAACAACUGAGACUGUAAAGAUUGCAUCCUGCUAAUUUUUACUGACAUAAACCCCAAUAUUAUUUAUAGAAUUGGUUGUCCUCUGUUUACUUGAUUAAAAUAUGGACUAAUCAGGCACCGCUUUUCUAGAAAUAGUUCUUGAGUUUGGUGAUUUGUCAUCUUCUGAAAUUUUCUUUAUUUAGCCAAAACACAAGUGCAUGUUUUAAUUCAUGGCAAUAUUUUAAACUUAUGUCUGUUUUAGAAUCAAUGACUUAACUAAAAAAAUUCCUAAACUGAAAGACCAUUUUCUAAUGUGUAUCUGAAAGGUAUAGUUGCUUGUGUGAACCCAUGUUCUAAUUUUGAUAUUCCCAGCGUGUUUUGUUGUUUGACCAUGGCCCUUUUCCAAUAAACAUA